UGGUGGAGUGAUUUGUCUGGUUAAUUCCGUUAACGAACGAGACCUUAGCCUACUAACUAGUCGCGACAAUGCCAUUGUCUGCGACUUCUUAGAGGGACUUUGCAAGCAACUGCAAGGAAGUUUGAGGCAAUAACG
rnacentral:rRNA from 1 species